CCAGUUUGGCAAGACUAUUAUUGCAGUUCUGUGCAACUGUAGCCCUAACCACAUUUCUGUUCAUACACUGUUUUGCCCAGCAAUAGUUUUUGAUCAUUCUAAGUCAUUUGCUGAAUCUGGAGGACAGCAUGAAGCUGCUCACCACCUUUCUCCUUAUGGGCCUUCUAGCUCUCUGGAUGGGCUACCCCUCCACAGCAGGAAGUGAUUUCCCAACAGAACAUCCAAUUCAACAGAAACCGGGGGUGUGCCCAGUCAAUUAUUGCAGCUGCGUUCAACCUGAAUCUGACAAGUGCAGUAGAGAUCAUGAAUGUGAAAAAAAUAAGAAGUGUUGUUACUACUGUUGUUCAAUGAACUGUGUAGAUCCAGCAUAAGAAGCUCUGGGAUUCAGGCUUCCCGGUUGAUGAAAGUGGUGUCAUGGUUCCGUCAGAUGAAACCCUUCAAAAGAACUUUGAGGCAUUGUUUACCUUAAAGAAUCUUUUAUUCGGGAAACAAAGUUGUUGUUAUGGUUUUAAUGUUGUAA